ACUUCGGUUCACCGAGAAAUGGGAGUGGCGAACGGGUGAGUAACACGUGGGUAACCUACCCAUCAGCGGGGGAUAACACUUGGAAACAGGUGCUAAUACCGCAUAAUUCUUUUCUUCGCCUGGAGGAAAGAUGAAAGACGCUUUUGCGUCACUGAUGGAUGGACCCGCGCUGCAUUAGCUAGUUGGUGGGGUAACGGCUCACCAAGGCCACGAUGCAUAGCCGACCUGAGAGGGUGAUCGGCCACACUGGGACUGAGACACGGCCCAGACUCCUACGGGAGGCAGCAGUAGGGAAUCUUCGGCAAUGGACGAAAGUCUGACCGAGCAACGCCGCGUGAGUGAAGAAGGUUUUCGGAUCGUAAAACUCUGUUGUUAGAGAAGAAUAAGGAUGAGAGUAGAAUGUUCAUCCCUUGACGGUAUCUAACCAGAAAGCCACGGCUAACUACGUGCCAGCAGCCGCGGUAAUACGUAGGUGGCAAGCGUUGUCCGGAUUUAUUGGGCGUAAAGCGAGCGCAGGCGGUUUCUUAAGUCUGAUGUGAAAGCCCCCGGCUUAACCGGGGAGGGUCAUUGGAAACUGGGAGACUUGAGUGCAGAAGAGGAGAGUGGAAUUCCAUGUGUAGCGGUGAAAUGCGUAGAUAUAUGGAGGAACACCAGUGGCGAAGGCGACUCUCUGGUCUGUAACUGACGCUG
rnacentral:rRNA from 1 species